AGAUUGAACGCUGGCGGCAGGCCUAACACAUGCAAGUCGAGCGGUAGAGAGGUGCUUGCAUCUCUUGAGAGCGGCGGACGGGUGAGUAAUGCCUAGGAAUCUGCCUAGUGGUGGGGGAUAACGUUCGGAAACGGACGCUAAUACCGCAUACGUCCUACGGGAGAAA
rnacentral:rRNA from 1 species